GAUGAACGCUGGCGGCGUGCCUAAUACAGGCAAGUCGAGCGAACGGACGAGAAGCUUGCUUCUCUGAUGUUAGCGGCGGACGGGGAAGUAACACGUGGAUAACCUACCUAUAAGACUGGGAUAACUUCGGGAAACCGGAGCUAAUACCGGAUAAUAUUUUGAACCGCAUGGUUCAAAAGGGAAAGACGGUCUUGCUGUCACUUAUAGAUGGAUCCGCGCUGCAUUAGCUAGUUGGUAAGGUAACGGCUUACCAAGGCAACGAUGCAUAGCCGACCUGAGAGGGUGAUCGGCCACACUGGAACGGAGACACGGUCAAGACUCCUACGGGAGGCAGCAGUAGGGAAUCUUCCGCAAUGGGCGAAAGCCUGACGGAGCAACGCCGCGUGAGUGAUGAAGGUCUUCGGAUCGUAAAACUCUGUUAUUAGGGAAGAACAUAUGUGUAAGUAACUGUGCACAUCUUGACGGUACCUAAUCAGAAAGCCACGGCUAACUACGUG
rnacentral:rRNA from 1 species